UACGGAGGGUGCGAGCGUUGUCCGGAAUCACUGGGCGUAAAGGGCGCGUAGGCGGCCUGAUAAGUAGGGGGUGAAAUCCUGCGGCUUAACCGCAGGGCUGCCUUCUAAACUGUCGGGCUAGAGCACGGUAGAGGCAGAUGGAAUUCCCGGUGUAGCGGUGGAAUGCGUAGAGAUCGGGAAGAACAUCAGUGGCGAAGGCGACUUCCUGGCCUGUUCUUGACGCUGAGGCGCG
rnacentral:rRNA from 1 species